rnacentral:misc_RNA from 1 species
GAUGAAGAACGUAGCGAAAUGCGAUAAGUAAUGCGAAUUGCAGAAUUCCGUGAAUCAUCGAAUCUUUGAACGCACAUUGCGCCCGCGAGUAUUCUCGCGGGCAUGCCUGUCCGAGCGUCAUUUCAACCCUCAGGGCCCGCCUGCUUCGGCAGGCGCGGCGCUGGUGUUGGGGAUCGGCCUAACCGCCGUCCCCCAAAUACAGUGGCGGUCUCGCUGCAGCCUCCCCUGCGUAGUAGCAACACUCGCAUGCGGAGCGCGGCGCGGCCACGCCGUAAAACCCCCGACUUUCUGAACGUUGACCUCGGAUCAGGUAGGAAUACCCGCUGAACUUAAGCAUAUCAAUAAGCGGAGGA